AACUUUCAACAACGGAUCUCUUGGUUCUCGCAUCGAUGAAGAGCGCAGCGAAAUGCGAUACCUAGUGUGAAUUGCAGCCAUCGUGAAUCAUCGAGUUCUUGAACGCACAUUGCGCCCCCUGGUAUUCCGGGGGGCAUGCCUGUUUGAGCGUCG
rnacentral:rRNA from 1 species